UCGUGGAGUGAUUUGUCUGGUUAAUUCCGAUAACGAACGAGACUCAAAUAUAUUAAAUAGAUGCAUACAGGACUAUGACAUUGAAGCUUUGCAUACGCGUUUGUUUUGGGGCUUCGGUUCUCAUUAGCAAAAUGUCGUUGUGUAGGUGGAGUCAUACCUGUUUGUUUGUCUAAAAUCAAAUAGACACUUAGCUUCUUAAAUGGACAAAUUGUGUCUAACAAUAUGAGAUUGAGCAAUAACA
rnacentral:rRNA from 1 species